UUUUUUUGUUUGUGAAAAAUUAAAUUAUCAAAAUAAUUAUGUUUGGAUUAAAAUUAUUAUUAUUUACACUUAUUUUAUUGACAUCAACAUCACUAACAAUGGGCGAUCCAUGUUUGCCAUUUAAUCCAUGCAAAAAUAAUAGUCAUUGUAAAAUAACUGGUAAAACUACAUUUGUUUGUGAAUGUCUACCUGGAUAUAUAGGGCGUUAUUGUGAACAAGUAGUUAAUACUACUACUACUAGUGUAAAUCUAAACCAGUGAUUAAACAGUAAUUGUCAUCAUGAAUAAAUAAUAUUUGAUUUUAAUAUAAAUAUUAUAUAUGU